UAACAACGAGUGGCAAGAAGUCAGCAGAGGUCAUAGUACUACUGUGGUUGCAAACAUAGUGGGAAGGAC
rnacentral:ncRNA from 1 species